CGCGGGGUAAUUUACCAGGUAUCACAUGAUAUAACAUUUUAUCAUGAUAGUGGUGCAUGGCCGUUUCCAAUGGAUGCUGUGAAGUAAUGAUUAAUUUCAACAAGAUGUGAGACCCUCUAUUAAGACAGAUGUAGUGAUACAUAUGAAGGAGAGGAUUAAAACAGGUCCGUUAUGCCCUAAGAUAAUCUGGGUUGCACGCGCAAUACAAUAAUAUUUCAUAUUAUAAGGGAUAAUAUAAUGUAAGAUAUAUUUGAACAUGGAAUUGCUAGUAAAUUUUAUUUAAUAAGUAGAAUUGAAUGUGUCCCUGUUCUUUGUACACACCGCCCGUCGCUAUCUAAGAUGGUAUUAUCUAUGAACAAAUUUAUAAAGUGAAUAGAUAGUACUAAAUCUGAUAUAAGUCGUAACAUGGUUGCUGUUGGAGAACCAUUAGCAGGAUCAUAA
rnacentral:rRNA from 1 species